UAUGGCUCAGACGAACGCUGGCGGCGUGCUUAACACAUGCAAGUCGAACGCGAAAGGGACUUCGGUCCUGAGUAAAGUGGCGGCACGGGUGAGUAACGCGUAGAUAACCUGUCUUCAUGUCUGGAAUAAUACGCCGAAAGGGGUACUAAUACCGGAUAUUCUUUGCUUUUCAUAAGUUAUGCAAGCAAAGGUGGCCUCUGCAUAUGCUACUGCAUGAAGAGGGGUCUGCGUACCAUUAGCUAGUAGGUGGGGUAAUGGCCUACCUAGGCGACGAUGGUUAGCGGGUCUGAGAGGAUGAUCCGCCACACUGGCACUGGAACACGGGCCAGACUCCUACGGGAGGCAGCAGUGAGGAAUAUUGCGCAAUGGGGGAAACCCUGACGCAGCGACGCCGCGUGAGUGAGGAAGGCCUUCGGGUCGUAAAGCUCUGUCAAGAGGAAAGAAGUGUACAAUGGCUAAUACCUGUUGUAUUUGACGGUACCUCUAAAGGAAGCACCGGCUAACUCCGUGCCAGCCGCCGC
rnacentral:rRNA from 1 species